CAAAUUCCAACUCCAUUAGCCUCCACAAAAAUCCAAGAAGAAGAAGAAGAAGAAGAAGAAGAAGAUGAUGAUGAUGAUGAUUGGGACAAUUUCCAGUCUUUUCCUGCCUCCACAAACGAACCUAAAUCCACACUACAUUCAGAGGAACCUAAAUCUACAGUGAGUUUAGAGGAACCUAAAGCUACAGUAGAUUCAGAAGAACCUAAAUCUAUAGUACAUUUGGAGUCAUCUAAAUCUACAGCAGAUUCAGAUGAGCAAGAAAACACAAGUGUGAGUGUUAAGGGUGAAGACGUGGUGGAGGAAAGCCGUGAUUUUGAAGAAUUUCUUAACGAGAAUGAAGG
rnacentral:lncRNA from 1 species